UCCUACUUUUUUUUUUUUUAAACAUAUAAUGUAUUAUUUGUUUCAGAGGUACAAGUCUGUGAUUCAACAGUGCUCACCACACCCUCCCCAAUGUCUAUAACUUUCUUUAUCAGGAAGAAACUCCAGGAAAAAAAGGAAGGACAUGCGGAAUCACCCAGAGUCCCAGAUCUCUCUCCUGGCUUCACGUGCCUUUGACUGCAUAGCCUUGACUGCAUACCUAAGCUGGACCGUAGGCUAUCGUUAACGUGAACUUGCUUUUGAAAGAAUGAGCUAUACUUCUGGGGUGACAAGGAUGGCAAGUUUCUGAUCUAUAAAGCUGAGAGAAAACUAUGGUCCAAAGACAGAAGUAAAUAUGACUUUGAACUGUCACCUAUCUGCGGGCCAGUCAAUUAGACAGCCUCUUCUGGUAACUCACGGACUUGGCCACGCAUUUAAAUUAACUUCUAACAAAAACCCAUGGUUAUUAGAAAGCAUAUGCUGCUGACAGAAAUGCAAACUGAUAUGCUCUUUCUGGAGGAGACUCUGGCCAACAUCUAACAAAAAUCCUGCUUCUAGGAACCCAUCAAGGAGACACACCUCCAACAACAGGAAAAGCCUAUGCACAAGACUGUUCACUGCAGAGUUCCUACAAAAUUGUGCAAAAGAGAUAAAAUAAUGCAUAUAAAUAAAGCACAA